UCCAUUGAAAAUUGUCGGUAGUAUGAAAACGCGUCACUUAGGCCAUAAUAUAUAUGAUCUAUUGCAUUUACUUCAAUAAAUACCAAGUACAUGAAUGAACAGUUUUCAAUAGCUCGUUUUAAAGUAAACCAUUCAUUACGUUAAAAUGUAUAUUUUUACUUGAAUAAAACAGAAAUACAUUAAUAAUUGCUUGUUUAUUCCAUUGAAAAUUGUCGGUAGUAUGAAAACGCGUCACUUAGGACAUAAUAUAUAUGAUCUAUUGCAUUUACUUCCAUAAACACCAAGUAUAAUAACUACUUUUCAAUAUAUAUUAUUAAAAGUUUCUACGUCGUUAUAGACCAAGCCAUAUCCACUGUAGUAGGAAAGUGCGGGUCUGGGUAGUAGUGAGGUGGCUACGCUGGCGAUACAAUCGGCUACAGUCGGUGACCGGCACUGGACAACAACUAAACAACUGUGGCAAAAACAACCCAACAACCGGCCACAAAUCAAAAAUUCUCAUUUUGUUGGGGAGGGGGUUGGGAACCCCCUUUAAUUUUGUAUUGUGUGCUGUUUAAAUAGCCGAAAAUUGCCAACAUUUAAAUGCAGCCAAGUGCCACGCCCUUAAUUAGACGGCUUAUAUAAUUUUCGAAAAACACCCCCCAACUAGUUCGUUAGCGUGUGUUUGUGCCCGUUUUAGUUCGACUGACUUUUGGCUAAUUAAUAGGCGCGUGUUGCCAACAAUAUGCGAAAUCUACGUGGCCGACAUGGUUUUUAACAAACUGUCCAAAAAUCCCAAAAGUUUUCCAACCAAAAAAAGAAGAAACAUUGCCCCGCCGAAAAGUUUGUUCCAACUUUUUUGGAACCCAGAUUUUACUCUCGAUUUAGCAGAGGUUUCCGAAAUAGUUUGGCAGCAGGAAUAUCUCCACCAAUGAAGCUGUCAGCGUGUGCUUUUGAUAAUUUAUUAACCAGGCAAAUGGAAAAAUAGAAAACAUUUUAAUUGAAUGUAAGAGAAAUAAAUUGAAUCCGCCUUAAACAAAACCCUCAUCGCAUCGAGGGCCUCAAUCAAAUUAAAGAUUUAUGAUCCCCAGGCAAAAAAAAAAAACAAAACAAAAAAUCUAGACAAGACAAUGAAUAUCAAUUAGGCGGCGAAAGGGGGUUAAGGCGGGGUCGGGGGGCAUUUGGACCCCCAGCUUUUGAUUAGAUCAGCGGGCGGACAAAGGGAAAAUGAAAAGUCCCCAUCUAAUGUCACUGAAAGUCACAUUCACAGAGCCCCGAAAAGGUCAGAUAUCUCCGUCAAUGUCAAGGAGCACAGAGGGCUGCCUUAUCAACACUCAAGGACCAAGCGGAAUCACCAUUAAAAAUGUAAGCACUGGCCUUAAAUUUGAUUUAAAUUCCGACGUUUUUUAAGUAUUUUUUAAUUUGUUUCUUCUUUUGUUGGGCGGAUUCUUUUUUUUUAUCUUUUUCAUUUUUGUAUUUAAAUUUCUACUUAUACUUUCUGUUCUGGCGUUUUCUUUUUUCGUUUUUUUUUUGCCAUCUGCGGGCGGCCGGAGUCAUUAAGUCAGCUUUGUUCCGCCUCAAUGCCGGCCCCGCCCCCUAUUUUCCGACCCCCUACACCCCCCCCACACAC